rnacentral:lncRNA from 1 species
AAAAAACAGUUUUAGAACACAUAUUUCUUUGGGGUUUAAACAUGUACAACAUACAAGACAACACUCAGAGCACCACAAAAACAACCUUGCAACAUAAACACACAAUUGUAACAUACGCCCAUGAUCAUCCAUGUUGUCCAUGUGUUUGCAGCAAAACACCAGAGGGAGAGCAUAUCAUGCCUAUCUUAUGCGUUCAGUUUGGAUGCUAACAACCAUUUCUAUACUGACUAGUAAGUUGCACGUGCGUUGCAACGGAACAUUUUUUUUAAUGUUCAAGGUGAUAAUGAAGACGAAGAUCAACCAUUAAUAAAAGUUGAAGAAUGAAGAUUUUCUUUUGGAAGAAUGAAAAUUUUGAAUUUCGGUCAUUCAUAAGAUAUGUCACAUAAAUUAAAAUGGAAA